UUAUUUUUUGUCAUUUUUAGCUAGUUUUUUUUAUUCUCUAUAUCAUUUUAUAUUAUUAAUUUCUAAUUUCAGUUUUAGUUAUUUUUGUACAUCAAGUUAAACUAAAUGAAUAUGAGAAUGUUGAAAGGAAAUACAUUUCUGUCAUGACAGCUCUCAGAGACGGUACUGUACAUGACAAUGUUAAUGUAUUUGGUCUUGGUGGAAUAGAUCUGCUACGCAGGUACAGAGACUAUCACUACUGCCAAUACAUCCACAACAUGCUGCUGUGAGCGUGUAAGAAACACUGCUGCUGCACAUACAACAUACAUAAAAUAACCCCCACAAAGCAGGAGACACAGAAAUUAACAAUACAAGCCGAUAUGUGCAUGAUGACGCUGAGUAUAAGGAUAUAACUGCUGCAUCAGUGCACAUACAUGUGUCCACACACAUGAAGAUUAACAGUCAGGAUAGACGAGACACCUGUCACAAAGCAGAUAUCACCAGGACACACGUACUGCUGCUGCUCCGAAGAGUCAUGUGAACCGCAUAUAUUACUGUCUAUGUGUGCCUGGGCUACCACACCGACCGGCUUAACAGUGUUAACAAGAAUAUACAUUGCAAUCUGAUAGAUAAGACCCCAGCACCCACCUGAGCAAAGGCUCCAGAGUCAUAUAUGUGUGAUGUUGAGAUGUUUGUGAGAAUGUAGAGUGUUUGAGCGGAUGAUUGUUACUCACUAGACCCGUGUGAUCUGAUCUCAGAGCGGCGUGUGCUGUGCUGAGAUGUCGUCUGUCCUGCACUCGAUCUGCUCCAGUGUGAGUGAGUCUCAGACCUGUGCUCUGAUGAACCUGCGGAGGACGCUGCUCUCUUCACAGGGUCACAGACCCAGCGGCGCUCUGACCGCAGUGAACCGGGAGCUCAACGCUCUCUCCAAGGCCUUCACUCACCUGACCAUAAACCCAAACCACCUGAGACUUCUGGGAGAAAUGCCACCCAACUUCAAGAUCCUGCUGCUCGUUUCUGCAUUGUUACACCCAAAAAAAUUUAAUGAGCUCAACAAAACAAAUCUGAUGUUUUACGGUACAUGCUCUAUAGCUUGUUUUGUUGUUGUUUUUGUUUUGUUUUUUGCACUUUUCUGUGAUCUGCACUUCUGUUCAAACGUUUGGGUUUGGUAAGAUUUUUAAUGUGUCUGAAAGAAGUCUCUGCUGUUCACCAAGACUGCAUUUAUUUGAUUAAAAAUACAGUAAAAAUAUGAAAUAUUAUUACAGCUUAAAAUACAUUUCUAUGUGAAUCUCUGUUAAACUGUAAUUCAGUGUCACAUGAUCUUCAGAAAUCAUUCUAAUAUGCUGAUUUACUGCUCAAGAAACAUUUCUGAUUAUUAUCAAUGUUGAACACAAUUUUUGUGGAAAUUUUAUUUCAGUUCAAAAGAACAGCAUGUAUUUGAAAUAGAAUUUUUUUGUAACAUUAUAAAUGUCUUUACUGUCACUUUUGAUCAAUUUAAUGCAUCCUUGAUGGAUAAAAGUAUUAAUUUCUUCCAAAUGUCUCACUGACCCUAACUUGAGAACAAUAGUGUAUAUAUAACUGUGUUUUGUCAGUGCAUGUGUUCUGUGCUCAUGUUUAAUGACGCGUGUGUCUGUAGGUGGUCUGAUCUGCUCUAAGGUGGUCAAGGCCUCCGUUCAUCGCUCAGAUCUGCUGCAGCUCCUCAAACUCCUGCAAGACUUCAAAGAUCUGAACACAGAGACGUGUCUGAAAGAGUCUCGCCGCUGCGGACAGAACCCAGCACAGGUAAGACACGCUGGCACCUACAGACGCUUUAACGAUCAAAAACAAUCUGAAAAACAUCAAUAUCACAGCGGCCUCUUUCUCUCUCUUUAUAAAGGACAGUAAAGAUGUACAGCUGGAUGAUUGUUUCAGCGCUCUGCUUGAGGAGAUGGAGAACUACCUCAAUCCUGUUCUCUCACAGUUUGACUUUUCAUGCUUUAGGUACCGGAACACACAUGCACAGUAUUAACACGUUUAUCAGGUGUUUGUGCUGGUAACAAGUUAAUGCAUCUAUAAAUGUGGCUUCUGUUUGCACCACAGGAGCACGUGUCUCUCGUCUGCCCUCAUCUUCUCUCUCAUUUCCUCUUCUGUCUUAUCACAGCGUUCGCUCUCCGUGCAUCUCCACCACAUCGGCCCGAGCCAAAGACAAGGACGAGAAAACUGCUGAUAAACCUCUGCCGGGUACAACACACCAACACAAUGGAGAUUAACGGCAUAUUAACAUCAAUAAUAAUAAUCAGAAAUGUUUCUUGAGCAGUAAAUCAUCAUAUUAGAAUGAUUUCUGAAGAUCAUGUGACACUGAAGACUGGAGUAAUGAUGCUGAAAAUACAGCUGCACAUCACAGAAAUAAAUUACACUUUAACAGAGAUUCACAUAGAAAUCAGCUGUUUUACAUUAGAAUAAUAUUUCACUAUUUUUAAAUUUUUAUUUUACUAUUAUUUAAUUUAUUAUUAUUAUUUUAUUUUUUGUAAGCAUAAAAGACUUCUUCCAAAAACAUUUUUAAAAAUCUUACUUUUAUCUUUAACUUCAAACCUUUGAACACGCUAUUAGAAGAGACAACUUAAAUUUACAAACACUAUUUAAAUGCAAGUAAAAUGCCUACUUUAAUGUUUCAAAUAACGUUUGUCAAAACGUGGGUGCAAUAAUGUUCCAUCAUCAUUUAAUAGUUUAAAAGAUAUAUUUAUGUAAACAUGAAACAAAAAUGAAACAACAUGCAACAUACUUAGUCUGACCUGUACUUACUCUUUCUCUCAAUCUAUAGAGAUACACACACACAUACACACACACACACACAAAGUGAUCUUACUAAAUUGUAUUGUAUUUUAAAUGAUUAAAAUCUUCUUGUUGACAAAUGGCUAAAAUCUAGAGGUUUGAAGGAUAUUGGCAAGGAUUGUUAAAGACAUGAGAAUUAAUUAGUAUUUUAGGGCGGAUCUGUGAUAGAGUCUUUUAAUGUCAUCUAAUGAUUCUUGAUUUAAAUAUGCCUGGAAAGAUUUUUUGAUACGUGAACCAUUGUUAUACUAAAUUAAAUUUUUCUUCUGUAAAUCAUGGUAAAAACGUAUGAUAGUUGUUAGUUUUGCUCAGAAAAAAAUAAAAUAAAAAUGCAUUUAAUUAAACAGGACACAUACUAGCAUUUAAUUAAACAGGACACAUACUAAUUUAUAUAAAAAAAAAUUAAAAAAUAAAAAAGCUGCAGUAAACUUUCAUUGCUUUGAUGUUUGAAAACCACUUUUCAUUUUUGAGCACGAUCAAACCUCCAGCUGCAUUUUACAUUCAUCUCUCACGUUUGUUUUCUCUGGUCUUCAGGUUUUGUUUUAUUUGACCAAAGCGUCACUUGUAGCUUGCGUGUCUCUAGCGCUGUCUGAUGUUUCUCUGCUGCACAAGAGAGCAUAUCUCCAUGAGUUUGUAUUGAAAUGUGUUUGAUAUGGAGCUCAAACCUGACAUCUGAGAUGCUUUAGGGCUGAAAUAUUGAUCUGAGAUCGAGCCCAUCUUUAGCGUGUCUGCUGGUCUCAUCAAAACAUGGAAAAACCUAACCACUCGCAGUUCAUCUUUAAUCAGUUUACUGCAUCAUACACAGGCUUUCAUCUGAAAUGUGAACGUGCUGGAUGUGUGUGUGUGUGUGUGUGUGUGUGUGUGUGUGUGUGUGUGUGUGUGUGUGUGUGUGUGUGUGUGUGUGUGUGUGUGUAGUGUGUGUGUGUGUGUGUGUGUGUGUGUGUGUGUGUGUGUAGAUGCUGGUGAUUGUGUGGUGAUUCUCGCUGACCGGACGCUGCUGGAGUUUCCGUUAGAAGCGCUGAGCGUCCUUCAGACGAAGGGCAUCGGCUCCGUCUCUCGAGAUUUCUCUCUGCAGGUUCUUCACACACGACUGCAGACGGAUGAAGCAGGUGAGCUCACACUGAACACCAUCUAUCUCUUCUGAUGCAUGGAUGGAGCUUAAAGAUGCUGCCUGAAAGCGGUUUCAAACCCUGCAUAGAAGUGUUUCCCAGCCUUUUUGAUAUGUAAGAAAAAAAGCUUUUUUAAAGAAAUUAAACAUUGCAUCAUCAGAGCAGGUCAUUUAGCUUUAUAUAUGAGCAGACACUUGCACUUAAUUUCUGAAAAUCAUCCUCAGAUGGAGUUAACAAGGUGUUUGAUGACUGAAUGACGGAGAUAUGUGUUUUUGUCUAAAAUAUAAUAGAGAUAAGGAAGAUUUUCCAGGCACACAGUGGCUGGGAAACACUGCUGUAUGGUCUGAUUCAUGAAUCACAAUCAUGCAAAAUCUAAGUAUAAGGAUAAGUAUAAAUAGUUAAUUAUAAGAUGUGCGAUAAAAAUAUAUUCUUCAAUGCAUUUAUGUUCAAUAAAGUCUAAUUCAUUUCUGAGCAUAGUUUCUUUUCAUACAUGCAUGGUAAAGUUGUUUGCACACAAACACGCAAAAAACACAGAAAUGCACAAAACCAUCAAAUAUGUGUUUAAAUAUUGCAGAAAAAAAAAAGAGGAAAAAUUCCUCAUUGCCUUAAGCCAAAUUUUAGAUAUGAAAGCAC
rnacentral:lncRNA from 1 species